rnacentral:lncRNA from 10 species
AGGUCACGGGUAGCUUUCCCCCUCCCAGCACACCCAGCCCUAGAUCAUCCAGUUGUCUUUUAGAGCUUACAAGGGAGGAAAAAAAUUAUUUUUUCUGCUACUUUUCUAGAUUCUCCAGCUGGAGCCCUAUAAAUUGGACUGACAAAAGACAGAUUAGCAAGAGAAAUGCAAGCAGCAGUUUAUUAACAUGUGCAUCAUGAUUACACAUGGAAGUACCCAGAGCAGGUCAUAAGACCUCAUGUGACAAGUGCCCUCCUUACUCCCAGAGAAAAGGAAGGAAGACACAGAAACACCACGAAGAAUAUGGACAAACAGACCUUGCUAAGUUCCCCCCCAUUUAUUACCAUGACAUCAUACUCCCUUUGUCCAAUCACACUUUCAUCAAACCUGAGCAUGAAAAUACACAGGUUUCUCUGUUUGGGGGGUGGGUCUUCAUUUUUGAAGUUUCCAUGUCAUGUAAAACUUAUAUUAAAG